AGCGAACGCUGGCGGCAUGCUUAACACAUGCAAGUCGCACGGGCAGGGGAAACUCUGUCAGUGGCGGACGGGUGAGUAACGCGUAGGUAUCUAUCCUUGGGGUGGGGGACAACGGCUGGAAACGGCUGCUAAUACCGCAUGAUGUCUGAGGACUAAAGGCGCGAGUCGCCUGAGGAGGAGCCUGCGUACGAUUAGCUAGUUGGUGGGGUAAAGGACCUACCAAGGCUGUGAUCGUUAGCUGGUCUGAGAGGAUGAUCAGCCACACGGGGGAC
rnacentral:rRNA from 1 species